UGGGGAAUAUUGCACAAUGGGGGAAACCCUGAUGCAGCGACGCCGCGUAAACGAAGAGGGUAUUCGUAUCUUAAAGUUCUUUCCUAGGGGAAGAUAAUAACAGUACCAUAAAAGAAAGCUCCGCCUAAAUACGGCCCAGCAGCCGCGGUAAUACGUAUGGAGCGAGCGUUGUCCGGAAUUAUUGGGCGUAAAGGGUACGCAGGCGGUUUAAUAAGUCGAAUGUUAAAGAUCGGGGCUCAACCCCGUAAAGCAUUGGAAACUGAUAAACUUGAGUAGUGGAGAGGAAAGUGGAAUUCCUAGUGUAGUGGUGAAAUACGUAGAUAUUAGGAGGAAUACCAGUAGCGAAGGCGACUUUCUGGACACAAACUGACGCUGAGGUACGAAAGCGUGGGGAGCAAACAGG
rnacentral:rRNA from 1 species